AUGCAGAAGAGAACAGCUGAUGUUUCAAUUAAGUGUCUUGGCCGAAACAGAAAGUCGCCAUUGUUCAUUUAGGGCGUGUAUAGCCAUUGACAACUCGUUUCUUACUGUGCUUUAUUGGUGUGAAUUCUCACCUUGUGAUUCCCUGUUUCUCAUUUGAACCUCUAAGAUUAGGCCGGAUUAGGCCCUAGAUUUGAUUUCGUGUCAUUUGUGUCUACGAUUGCCUUAUUGACCGGCUCCUAAUUGUGGAUGCUAGGCAAUUUGUGCUCUGUGCAUUUAUAUUGACGAAUAAACCCGUGCAUCGAUUAGAAGCAAUUGAUAGGCCUACGCCCCCUCCUCUACUGUCUCAUUCUCUCGC